rnacentral:ncRNA from 1 species
GAAGUUGUACGAAUGAAACGUCGAUGGCGAGUGGGCCAAUUUUGCUAAGCAGAACUGGCGAUGUGGGAAGAACCAAACGUCGAGUUAAGGCGCCUGAUACGAACGUUGAACAGAUACCAUGAAAGGUGUUAGUUGACAG